GCUAGCUAAGGGGUAGUAUCGGCGGUAAUCGGUUGGGGGCAGUGUGUGUCGGGAAGGAUUGGGAGGAAAGGGCGUGUGAGCGGCCAGGUAAGUCCGCGGGGAAAACUGGAGGCUCAGAUUCGGGAUGUUGGCGGAAACUAUCUGGCUAGAGUUCGGAGGAGGAAAGUGGAAGUCCUGGUGGAGCGGUGAAAUGGGUAGAUAUCAGGAAGAACACCCGUGGCGAAGGCGGCUUUCUGGGACUGUACUGACGCUGAGACGCGAAAGCGUGGGGAGCAACCAGGAUUAGAUACCCUUGUAGUC
rnacentral:rRNA from 1 species